rnacentral:rRNA from 1 species
CCUACGGGUGCCAACAGUAGGGAAUCUUUCACAAUGGGCGAAAGCCUGAUGGAGCAACGCCGCGUGCAGGAUGCAGGCCUUCGGGUUGUAAACUGCUUUUAUAAGCGAGAAAUAUGAUGGUAACUUAUGAAUAAGGAUCGGCUAACUACGUGCCAGCAGCCGCGGUCAUACGUAGGAUCCGAGCAUUAUCCGGAGUGACUGGGUGUAAAGAGUUGCGUAGGUGGCAUAAUAAGUAGCUAGUGAAAUCUGGUGGCUCAACCAUUCAGACUAUUAGCUAAACUGUUAAGCUCGAGACCGUUAGGGGUAACUGGAAUUUCUAGUGUAGGAGUGAAAUCCGUAGAUAUUAGAAGGAACACCAAUAGCGUAGGCAGGUUGCUGGGACGGUUCUGACACUAAGGCACGAAAGCGUAGGGAGCAAACGGGAUUAGAUACCCUAGUAGUC